rnacentral:rRNA from 1 species
ACGGGGRAAUUGCCUUAGUAGCGGCGAGUGAAGCGGCAAAAGCUCAAAUUUGAAAUCUGGCUCUUUCAGAGUCCGAGUUGUAAUUUGAAGAAGGUAUCUUUGGGCCUGGCUCUUGUCUAUGUUUCUUGGAACAGAACGUCACAGAGGGUGAGAAUCCCGUGCGAWGAGAUGAUCCAGGUCUAUGUAAAGUUCCUUCGAAGAGUCGAGUUGUUUGGGAAUGCAGCUCUWAGUGGGUGGUAAAUUCCAUCUWAAGCUAAAUAUUGGCGAGAGACCGAUAGCGAACAAGUACAGUGAUGGAAAGAUGAAAAGAACUUUGAAAAGAGAGUGAAAAAGUACGUGAAAUUGUUGAAAGGGAAGGGCUUGAGAUCAGACUUGGKAUUUUGUAUGUUACUUCUUCGGGGGUGGCCUCUACAGUUUACCGGGCCAGCAUCAGUUUGGGCGGUAGGAGAAUCGCUUGGGAACSUGGCACGACCUCRGUUGUGUGUUAYAGCCMUUGUGGAUACUGCCAGCCUAGACUGAGGACUGCGAUUUAUAUCUAGGAUGUUGGCAUAAUGAUCUUAAGUCGCCCGUCUUAAAMMAMRGACACAA